UACGAAGGGGGCUAGCGUUGUUCGGAAUCACUGGGCGUAAAGCACACGUAGGCGGAUCUUUAAGUCAGAGGUGAAAUCCCAAGGCUCAACCUUGGAACUGCCUUUGAUACUGGGGAUCUUGAGUCCGGGAGAGGUGAGUGGAACUGCGAGUGUAGAGGUGAAAUUCGUAGAUAUUCGCAAGAACACCAGUGGCGAAGGCGGCUCACUGGCCCGGUACUGACGCUGAGGUGCGAAAGCGUGGGGAGCAAACAGG
rnacentral:rRNA from 1 species